rnacentral:rRNA from 1 species
GACGAACGCUGGCGGCGUGCUUAACACAUGCAAGUCGAACGAAAAGAGGGAAAGAGCCUGCUCUUUCCGGAAUUGAGUGGCAAACGGGUGAGUAACACGUAAACAACCUGCCUUCAGGAUGGGGACAACAGACGGAAACGACUGCUAAUACCGAAUAAGUUCCAAGAGCCGCAUGGCCCAUGGAAGAAAAGGUGGCCUCUACCUGUAAGCUAUCGCCUGAAGAGGGGUUUGCGUCUGAUUAGCUGGUUGGAGGGGUAACGGCCCACCAAGGCGACGAUCAGUAGCCGGUCUGAGAGGAUGAACGGCCACACUGGAACUGAGACACGGUCCAGACUCCUACGGGAGGCAGCAGUGGGGAAUCUUCCGCAAUGGGCGACAGCCUGACGGAGCAACGCCGCGUGAGUGAUGACGGCCUUCGGGUUGUAAAACUCUGUGAUCCGGGACGAAAAGGCAGAGUGCGAAGAACAAACUGCAUUGACGGUACCGGAAAAGCAAGCCACGGCUAACUACGUG